CUGCCGUCCAGGAGGACGUUCCCGAGCAGGCCGCUGCCGUCCAGGUGGAGGUGUCCAAGGUUCCCGAGGCGGUGCCCGAUGCCGAGGCCGUUCCCGAGGCGGUGCCCGAUGCCGAGCCCGAGGCGGUUCCCGAUGCAAUGCCCGAGGCCGAGAAGGUGGCCGAGACAGAAGCGGUUCCCGAUGCUAUGCACGAGGCCGAGGCGGUGCCCGAGGCGGUGCCCGAUGCCGAGGCGGUCCCCGAUGCCGAGGCGGUGCCCGAGGCGGUCCCCGAUGCCGAGGCGGUUCCCGAUGCAAUGUCCGAUGCCGAGGCGGUGCCCGAUGCCGAGGCGGUGCCCGAUGCCGAGGUCGUUCCCGAGGCGGUGUCCUUGUCCGAUGCCAUUCCCGAGGCGGUGCCCGAUGCUGUUCCGGAGGCCGAUGCGGGGCCCGAGAUGGUUCCGGAGGCGAUACCCGUGUCCAAGGCCGUUCCCGAGGCGGUGCCCUUGUCUGAGGCCGUUCCCGAUGCCGUUCCCAAUGCCGUGACCUGGCCAUCGCCACAGCCUGCUCCUUACUGGCUCCCCGAUUGGCAGGUUCCGUUCGGGCCACUCAAAUGGCGAAUUCCUCCCUGGCCGUCUGCACAACGAGAAUGGACUGAUCCACUGUGGCCACCUGAACUGCCUGGUCCCUCGUGGUCCCCUGAACUUUCGGGUCCACCAUGGCCCCCUGAUCUGACCGAGCCACCUGGGCUACCAGGGGAGCCAUCACUGCCGGUCCCAGUUCCCCUACACGGGCCUGGCCCGCCAUCCCUCC
ensembl:lncRNA